rfam:Schistosoma margrebowiei strain Zambia genome assembly, scaffold: SMRZ_contig0006194
GUCCAGCUGACGAGUCCCAAAUACAAUGAAACGCGCGUCCCGGAU